UUGUCUCAAAGAUUAAGCCAUGCAUGUCUCAGUACAAACCAAAAUAAGGUGAAACCGCGAAAGGCUCAUUAUAUCAGUUAUGGUUCAUUAGAUCGUACCAACAUUUACUUGGAUAACUGUGGUAAUUCUAGAGCUAAUACAUGCAUACAGAACUCCGACCGGAGACGGAAGGAGCGCUUUUAUUAGAUCAAAACCAACACGGGCGGCGGGGGCCGGCGGCGCCUCGCGCGUCGUCGCGUUCGCGCCGUCUAAACAUAGCUCGCACGACGAAUCUGAAUAACUUUAUGCCGAUCGCACGGUCACGCACCGGCGACGCAUCUUUCAAAUGUCUGCCUUAUCAACUUUCGAUGGUAGGUUAUGCGCCUACCAUGGUUGUAACGGGUAACGGGGAAUCAGGGUUCGAUUCCGGAGAGGGAGCCUGAGAAACGGCUACCACAUCCAAGGAAGGCAGCAGGCGCGCAAAUUACCCACUCCCGGCACGGGGAGGUAGUGACGAAAAAUAACGAUACGGGACUCAUCCGAGGCCCCGUGAUCGGAAUGAGCACACUUUAAAACCUUUAACGAGGAUCAAUUGGAGGGCAAGUCUGGUGCCAGCAGCCGCGGUAAUUCCAGCUCCAAUAGCGUAUAUUAAAGUUGCUGCGGUUAAAAAGCUCGUAGUCGAAAUUGUGUCCUCGGCCGCCGGUUCGUCGCUCGCGACGCCAACUGGCGCGCACGCUGGACGUCCAGCCGGUACAACGAACUCGCCUACGGGGUGCUCUUAACCGAGUGUCCAGGCGGGGGCCGGCAACGUUACUUUGAACAAAUUAAAGUGCUUAAAGCAGGCUAAAUUGCGCUCGCAUACACGCGCAUGGAAUAAUCGAAUAGGACCUCCGUUCUAUUUUGUUGGGAUUUUGUGGAACGACAGACGGAGGUAAUGAUCAAUGGGUGCGGAUGGGGGCAUUCGUAUUGCGACGUUAGAGGUGAAAUUCUUGGAUCGUCGCAAGACGGACUUAAGCGAAAGCAUUUGCCAAAAACGCUUUCAUCGAUCAAGAACGAAAGUUAGAGGUUCGAAGGCGAUCAGAUACCGCCCUAGUUCUAACCAUAAACUAUGCCAGCUAGCGAUCCGCCGAAGUUACUUCUAUGACUCGGCGGGCAGCUUCCGGGAAACCAAAGCUUUCGGGUUCCGGGGGAAGUAUGGUUGCAAAGCUGAAACUUAAAGGAAUUGACGGAAGGGCACCACCAGGAGUGGAGCCUGCGGCUUAAUUUGACUCAACACGGGAAACCUCACCAGGCCCGGACACCGGAAGGAUUGACAGAUUGAGAGCUCUUUCUUGAUUCGGUGGGUGGUGGUGCAUGGCCGUUCUUAGUUGGUGGAGCGAUUUGUCUGGUUAAUUCCGAUAACGAACGAGACUCUGUCCUGCUUAAUAGCCGAAAGAAGGCCGCGUCGGAGCGACGGGGGGCGCGCGCGUGUGACUGUUGCACGAGCGCACGGUUCUUACACUGUCUGCGGACAAACAUAUCUUCUUAGAGGGACAAGCGGCUCGAAGCCGCGCUAUAGAGAGCAAUAACAGGUCUGUGAUGCCCUUAGAUGUCCUGGGCCGCACGCGCGCUACACUGAAGGAAUCAGCGUGUGCGCAGAUAGCCCUCGGCCGAGAGGCCCGGGUAAUCCGCUGAAACUCCUUCGUGCUAGGGAUUGGGGCUUGAAAUUCUUCCCCAUGAACGAGGAAUUCCCAGUAAGCGCGAGUCAUAAGCUCGCGUUGAUUACGUCCCUGCCCUUUGUACACACCGCCCGUCGCUACUACCGAUCGAGCGAUUUAGCGAGGUCUUCGGACCGACGCCCGUCGGCAUACCGUCGACGGACGCGCCGGAAAGUCGACCGAACUUGAUCGUUU
rnacentral:rRNA from 1 species